GACGGGACCCGCACAAGCAGCGGAGCGUGUGGUUUUAAUUCGUUGCUACACGAAGAACCUUACCUGGGUUUGACAUAUAGGUUGUAGGGAACUGAAAGGGACCGACCCUUCGGGGAGCCUAUACAGGUGUUGCAUGGCUGUCGUCAGCUCGUGUCGUGAGAUGUUCGGUUAAGUCCGCUAACGAGCGCAACCCUCGUCGUAUGUUAUAUGUGUCAUACGAGACUGCCGGUAAAAGCCGGAGGAAGGUGAGGAUGAUGUCAAGUCAGCAUGACCUUUAUAUCCAGGGCUACACACACGCUACAAUGGUCUGUACAAUGGGUAGCCAAGCCGCGAGGCGGAGCCAAUCCUGAAAGCAGGCCUCAGUUCAGAUUGCAGUCUGCAACUCGACUGCAUGAAGCCGGAGUUGCUAGUAACCGCAGGUCAGCAAUACUGCGGUGAAUACGUUCCCGGGCCUU
rnacentral:rRNA from 1 species